rnacentral:rRNA from 1 species
GAUGAACGCUGGCGGCGUGCCUAAUACAUGCAAGUCGAGCGAACGGACGAGAAGCUUGCUUCUCUGAUGUUAGCGGCGGACGGGUGAGUAACACGUGGAUAACCUACCUAUAAGACUGGGAUAACUUCGGGAAACCGGAGCUAAUACCGGAUAAUAUUUUGAACCGCAUGGUUCAAAAGUGAAAGACGGUCUUGCUGUCACUUAUAGAUGGAUCCGCGCUGCAUUAGCUAGUUGGUAAGGUAACGGCUUACCAAGGCAACGAUGCAUAGCCGACCUGAGAGGGUGAUCAGCCACACUGGAACUGAGACACGGUCCAGACUCCUACGGGAGGCAGCAGUAGGGAAUCUUCCGCAAUGGGCGAAAGCCUGACGGAGCAACGCCGCGUGAGUGAUGAAGGUCUUCGGAUCGUAAAACUCUGUUAUUAGGGAAGAACAUAUGUGUAAGUAACUGUGCACAUCUUGACGGUACCUAAUCAGAAAGCCACGGCUAACUACGUGCCAGCAGCCGCGGUAAUACGUAGGUGGCAAGCGUUAUCCGGAAUUAUUGGGCGUAAAGCGCGCGUAGGCGGUUUUUUAAGUCUGAUGUGAAAGCCCACGGCUCAACCGUGGAGGGUCAUUGGAAACUGGAAAACUUGAGUGCAGAAGAGGAAAGUGGAAUUCCAUGUGUAGCGGUGAAAUGCGCAGAGAUAUGGAGGAACACCAGUGGCGAAGGCGACUUUCUGGUCUGUAACUGACGCUGAUGUGCGAAAGCGUGGGGAUCAAACAGGAUUAGAUACCCUGGUAGUCCACGCCGUAAACGAUGAGUGCUAAGUGUUAGGGGGUUUCCGCCCCUUAGUGCUGCAGCUAACGCAUUAAGCACUCCGCCUGGGGAGUACGACCGCAAGGUUGAAACUCAAAGGAAUUGACGGGGACCCGCACAAGCGGUGGAGCAUGUGGUUUAAUUCGAAGCAACGCGAAGAACCUUACCAAAUCUUGACAUCCUUUGACAACUCUAGAGAUAGAGCUUUCCCCUUCGGGGGACAAAGUGACAGGUGGUGCAUGGUUGUCGUCAGCUCGUGUCGUGAGAUGUUGGGUUAAGUCCCGCAACGAGCGCAACCCUUAAGCUUAGUUGCCAUCAUUAAGUUGGGCACUCUAAGUUGACUGCCGGUGACAAACCGGAGGAAGGUGGGGAUGACGUCAAAUCAUCAUGCCCCUUAUGAUUUGGGCUACACACGUGCUACAAUGGACAAUACAAAGGGCAGCGAAACCGCGAGGUCAAGCAAAUCCCAUAAAGUUGUUCUCAGUUCGGAUUGUAGUCUGCAACUCGACUACAUGAAGCUGGAAUCGCUAGUAAUCGUAGAUCAGCAUGCUACGGUGAAUACGUUCCCGGGUCU